rnacentral:rRNA from 1 species
UACGUAGGGUGCAAGCGUUGUCCGGAAUUAUUGGGCGUAAAGAGCUCGUAGGCGGUUUGUCGCGUCUGCUGUGAAAAACCCGAGGCUCAACCUCGGGCCUGCAGUGGGUACGGGCAGACUAGAGUGUGGUAGGGGAGACUGGAAUUCCUGGUGUAGCGGUGAAAUGCGCAGAUAUCAGGAGGAACACCGAUGGCGAAGGCAGGUCUCUGGGCCACUACUGACGCUG